CUCGUAGGCGGCUCAGUAAGUCGGGUGUGAAACCCCCAGGCUCAACCUGGGGACGCCACCCGAUACUGCUGUGGCUAGAGUCCAGUAGGGGAGUGUGGAAUUCCCGGUGUAGCGGUGAAAUGCGCAGAUAUCGGGAGGAACACCAGCGGCGAAGGCGGCACUCUGGGCUGGAACUGACGCUGAGGAGCGAAAGCGUGGGUAGCAAACAGGAUUAGAUACCCUGGUAGUCCACGCCGUAAACGUUGGGCACUAGGUGUGGGGACCCUCCAACGGUUUCCGUGCCGUAGCUAACGCAUUAAGUGCCCCGCCUGGGGAGUACGGCCGCAAGGCUAAA
rnacentral:rRNA from 1 species